AGGAUAAACGCUGGCGGCGUGCCUAACACAUGCAAGUCGAACGCCCUACGCAAGUAGGGAGUGGCGGACGGGUGAGGAACACGUGGGUAAUCUGCCCUUCGGUGAGGAAUACCGGCGAGAAAUCGCCGACAAUACCGCAUGCGUUUCACGGAAGUGAAAGAAAGUCGUAAGACGCCGAGGGAUGAGCCUGCGCCCGAUUAGUUUGUUGGUGGGGUAAAAGCCUACCAAGACUACAAUCGGUAGCUGGUCUGAGAGGACGAUCAGCCACACUGGGAUUGAGAACGGCCCAGACUCCUACGGGGGGCAGCAGUGAGGAAUUUCGUCAAUGGGGGCAACCCUGAACGAGCAACGCCGCGUGCAGGAAGAAGGUUUUCGGAUCGUAAACUGCUUUUCUGUGGAAGAGAACGGACGGUACCACAGGAAGAAGCCCCGGCUAACGUACGCGCCAGCAGCCGC
rnacentral:rRNA from 1 species